rnacentral:tRNA from 1 species
GCGCCGCUAGCUCAGUGGCAGAGCUGCCGACUUUUAAUCGGAACGUCCGGGGUUCGAUUCCCUGGCGGCGCAC